rnacentral:lncRNA from 1 species
AGAAGGGGCUGGAUCCGUGGGUCAGAGAACACAGGACCAGUUUGCCAUCCCAAGGCCGAAGGUUUGUGUACUGCCUGCCUGGUCUGAAGAAGAGUUAAAUAAUCCCAGUGUUAGAAAGGACCUUGAACUGGUUCAUCUCUCCACCAGGUAAAGAGAUGCCCCACUCCGUGAUGUGUGACCACCUGGCCCUGCCUGACCCUUCCCAGUGGUAGGGUGUUCACAUAUUCUGCCGCCUCUAAUUACUAAAAUGGACUUCCUUUUUAACCAUGAACAGGCAAUCACAAGAGAAGCAAUAUAAAUGAAAAACUGUUUGACAUCCCUGGGAAUUAAAGAAAGGCAAACUAAAACAAUGAGAUGCCGUUCUCCCCCCUAACAAAUUGACACAGAUUUUCUCAAAGAUUAGUACUCAGUGUAGAUGAAGAUUUGAGGAAAUAGGCCCACACUUGUUUUUCAAGGACUGUUUAGCAAUAUGUGUUAAAAGCCUUAAAAUCC